CAGCCUGAUGCAGCCAUGCCGCGUGUAUGAAGAAGGCCUUCGGGUUGUAAAGUACUUUCAGUCGUGAGGAAGGUGGUAGUGUUAAUAGCACCAUCAUUUGACGUUAGCGACAGAAGAAGCACCGGCUAACUCCGUGCCAGCAGCCGCGGUAAUACGGAGGGUGCGAGCGUUAAUCGGAAUUACUGGGCGUAAAGCGCAUGCAGGUGGUUCGUUAAGUCAGAUGUGAAAGCCCGGGGCUCAACCUCGGAAUAGCAUUUGAAACUGUCGGACUAGAGUACUGUAGAGGGGGGUAGAAUUUCAGGUGUAGCGGUGAAAUGCGUAGAGAUCUGAAGGAAUACCAGUGGCGAAGGCGGCCCCCUGGACAGAUACUGACACUCAGAUGCGAAAGCGUGGGGAGCAAACAGGAUUAGAUACCCUGGUAGUCCACGCCGUAAACGAUGUCUACUUGGAGGUUGUGGCCUUGAGCCGUGGCUUUCGGAGCUAACGCGUUAAGUAGACCGCCUGGGGAGUACGGUCGCAAGAUUAAAACUCA
rnacentral:rRNA from 1 species